AUUGAACGCUGGCGGCAUGCCUUACACAUGCAAGUCGAACGGCAGCAUGAUCUAGCUUGCUAGAUUGAUGGCGAGUGGCGAACGGGUGAGUAAUACAUCGGAACGUGCCCUGUAGUGGGGGAUAACUAGUCGAAAGAUUAGCUAAUACCGCAUACGACCUGAGGGUGAAAGUGGGGGACCGCAAGGCCUCAUGCUAUAGGAGCGGCCGAUGUCUGAUUAGCUAGUUGGUGAGGUAAAGGCUCACCAAGGCGACGAUCAGUAGCUGGUCUGAGAGGACGAUCAGCCCCACUGGGACUGAGCCACGGCCCAGACUCCUACGGGAGGCAGCAGUGGGGAAUUUUGGACAAUGGGCGAAAGCCUGAUCCAGCAAUGCCGCGUGUGUGAAGAAGGCCUUCGGGUUGUAAAGCACUUUUGUCCGGAAAGAAAUGGCUCUGGUUAAUACCUGGGGUCGAUGACGGUACCGGAAGAAUAAGGACCGGCUAACUACGUG
rnacentral:rRNA from 1 species